rnacentral:rRNA from 1 species
CCUACGGGCGGCUGCAGUGGGGAAUAUUGCACAAUGGGCGCAAGCCUGAUGCAGCCAUGCCGCGUGUGUGAAGAAGGCCUUCGGGUUGUAAAGCACUUUCAGCGGGGAGGAAGGCGGUGAGGUUAAUAACCUCAUCGAUUGACGUUACCCGCAGAAGAAGCACCGGCUAACUCCGUGCCAGCAGCCGCGGUAAUACGGAGGGUGCAAGCGUUAAUCGGAAUUACUGGGCGUAAAGCGCACGCAGGCGGUCUGUCAAGUCGGAUGUGAAAUCCCCGGGCUCAACCUGGGAACUACAUUCGAAACUGGCAGGCUAGAGUCUUGUAGAGGGGGGUAGAAUUCCAGGUGUAGCGGUGAAAUGCGUAGAGAUCUGGAGGAAUACCGGUGGCGAAGGCGGCCCCCUGGACAAAGACUGACGCUCAGGUGCGAAAGCGUGGGGAGCAAACAGGAUUAGAUACCCGAGUAGUC